AAGCUCUACUGAUAAUACCAGCUUUAACUACUGGAGUUUCCCUUUGAACAAAUAUUCAAUUUAACUGGAGUUAAUUUACCAUAAAAGACAUUCCCCUUGGCAGGAAUGCACUAAUGUCCUUGAACACACCUCUUUGAAUGCCUGGACUCUCAUAGAAGCCAUUAUUUCGGGGUCUCUUUAAAAAUCGAGCGCCCAUCUCUCCUUCUCUCCCUCCCUCCCUUCUUCCCUCCCUCCUCACCACACCACCCCCAGUGAAAUCCUGGCACCCAGAGAGCACUCCUUUCAGCCUGAGAGCCCAGAACCAGCCGUUGUCCCCUGGCAAAAAGAGGCCCAGGGCUGAGCCCUGGGCAAGUGUCUCCCGACAUCGCUACCCCUCCUCCCUUUAUUAGUUUCCCUUUCCCAACAAAAACCAUUGCCUUCUGCCACCAAAACUAGGUUGCAUCCAAAAGUUUUUCACAAGCUUAAAAAAGAAAAACGAAAAAUUGACAAGUAUUACACAGAAGAGCCCACAAAAGCUUCAGCAACACCAAGGGCGAAGAAGCAGCGUCAGAUCCAGGUCUGCAGGACACACCAAAGAAGUCCUCCAAGUCACACAAGGGAGAAAAUUAACUUCAUUGGCUUCUAUCAGGAAAGCUAUUUUUUUUUCCUCUUCUUUCCUGCAAGUUUCCCAAACCCCAUGACUCUGAUUUCCAGGAUAAAGGCAGAAGCAAUUUGACACAGACACACCAAAGAGACAUAAAGAUAAGAUGAGGAAGCAAUGGCCACACAGGCCGAGAUUGCAGUGAUGUGGCCAAAAACCAAGGAAUACCUGGAGGCACCAGAAGCUGGAUGAGAAAGAAACAAAAUCUCCCCCAGAGCUUCCAGAGGUAGCAUGACCCUGCUGACACCUUGACUUUGGAUUAGUGGCCUCCAUAAAUAUGAG